rnacentral:rRNA from 1 species
AACGAACGCUGGCGGCGUGCCUAACACAUGCAAGUCGUGCGAGAAAGUUCCUUCGGGAGCGAGUAAAGCGGCGCACGGGGUGAGUAACACGUAGGUAACCUGCCCCCCAGUCUGGAACAACUAGAGGAAACUCUAGCUAAUGCCGGAUGAGACCACGAUCCCUUCGGGGGUUGCGGCCAAAGAUGGCCUCUACUUGUAAGCUAUCGCUGAGGGAUGGGCCUGCGGGCCAUUAGCUUGUUGGUGAGGUAACGGCUCACCAAGGCUGUGAUGGCUAGCUGGUCUGAGAGGAUGACCAGCCACACUGGGACUGAGACACGGCCCAGACUCCUACGGGAAGCAGCAGUGGGGAAUAUUGCGCAAUGGCGAAAGCCUGACGCAGCGACGCCGCGUGGGUGAUGAAGGCCUC